GGUUCCUACGGGACGCAGCAGUGAGGAAUAUUGGUCAAUGGGCGAGAGCCUGAACCAGCCAAGUCGCGUGAGGGAAGACGGUCCUAUGGAUUGUAAACCUCUUUUGUCGGGGAGCAAAAAGGCCUCGUGAGGCCACAAGUGAGAGUACCCGAAGAAAAAGCAUCGGCUAACUCCGUGCCAGCAGCCGCGGUAAUACGGAGGAUGCGAGCGUUAUCCGGAUUUAUUGGGUUUAAAGGGAGCGUAGGUGGAUUGUUAAGUCAGUUGUGAAAGUUUGCGGCUCAACCGUAAAAUUGCAGUUGAAACUG
rnacentral:rRNA from 1 species